rnacentral:lncRNA from 1 species
CCAGCGAAGAUUAACAAAUACAUAAACGGAAAGUAAGUUUUAGGCUUUAUCCUUUGUCCUUGUUUAACAAAAUCGAUUUAAAUUGUUACUUUUUUCUACCACUAAGUAAUGAUAAAUUAUUGUUAAUAAUUUUUUUAUUUUUUGGAUGCUCAGAAUGCAGGAAAUAGCAUUUCCGGGUUUCAAAUUUCAAAAAUUUUCUUGGGAUUAUCCCUCUAAUAAGUAAUGAUAAAUGAUGGUUAAUUUUUCCUUUAUUUAUUUCAAAUACAAGUAUAGUUAGCAUAAAUUUUGGAGCAAAUUUGGAUGCUCAGAAUGCAGGAAAUGACAUUUCCGGGAUUCAAAUUUCAAAAAAUUUUCUGGGGGAAUACUCCCCCAGACCACCCCCCAUUCAUGAGUGGUAUAUUGGCGACACACGUAGCCUUCAGGCUUCAGCCAUUGCUAUCCCCUUCUAAUAUAUUAUAUCACAGAAAAGUCCCUUUUCAAAAAAUGCCCCCCCACGGGAAAAUCCUUAAAAAAGGCCCUGACAAUAAGAAGUAGAAUUAAAU